rnacentral:rRNA from 1 species
GACGAACGCUGGCGGCGUGCUUAACACAUGCAAGUCGAACGGAAAGGCCCUUUUGGGGGUACUCGAGUGGCGCACGGGGGAGUAACACGCGAGUAAGCUGCGCUUGCUUCCUGGAGAACUGCAGGAAACUGGGGGUAAUACCGGGGAGGGAUCCUUGCUGCAUGGGGGGGGGUGGAAAGAUUCGGGGGGUUUGGGUGGACGCGCGGCGUAUCAGCGUGUGGGUGGGGGGGUGGCUUACCAAGGCGUUGACGUGUGGCGGGCCUGAGAGGGGGAGCGGCCAUAUUGGGUCUGAGAUGCGGCCCAGACUCCUACGGGGGGCCGCUGGGGGGAAUAUUGCACCAUGGGCGGGAGCCUGGUGCAGCAACGCCGCGUGCGGUAUGACGGCCUUGGUGUUGUAAACCGCUUUCAGCAGAGGCGACGCUUGUGGUGACGGUACCUGCAGAAGAAGCACCGGCUAACUACGUG